rnacentral:rRNA from 1 species
AUUGAACGCUGGCGGCAGGCUUAACACAUGCAAGUCGAGCGGGCGAGGUUGCUUCGGUAACUGAGCUAGCGGCGGACGGGUGAGUAAUGCUUAGGAAUCUGCCUAUUAGUGGGGGACAACAUUCCGAAAGGAAUGCUAAUACCGCAUACGCCCUACGGGGGAAAGCAGGGGAUCUUCGGACCUUGCGCUAAUAGAUGAGCCUAAGUCAGAUUAGCUAGUUGGUGGGGUAAAGGCCUACCAAGGCGACGAUCUGUAGCGGGUCUGAGAGGAUGAUCCGCCACACUGGGACUGAGACACGGCCCAGACUCCUACGGGAGGCAGCAGUGGGGAAUAUUGGACAAUGGGCGCAAGCCUGAUCCAGCCAUGCCGCGUGAGUGAAGAAGGCCUUUUGGUUGUAAAGCACUUUAAGCGGGGAGGAGGCUACUUGGAUUAAUACUCUAGGAUAGUGGACGUUACUCGCAGAAUAAGCACCGGCUAACUCUGUGCCAGCAGCCGCGGUAACAC